UCUUGACCUACAGGCUCACUUCCAGGUUGACCUCAUUGCAAUUUCGCCUUAUGACCUAGGCUUUUGGUUGGACCUGGCCACCAUCUGCAGGUCUGCCUGUUCCUCCUACUCAGAGGAAAUCAUGCAUGUGAAGGGAUGUGGAAGGUCUUAUGUUCAAAAUGGUGCACUGCUGCAGCUCUCCUGCCCGCCGUCCAGCUUCUGCUCAAAUGUCCCAUCCCAAAACCCUCGGUGCUGCACGAUGGUGGAGGCAAACCUGGAAGAUGCCCGAAGGAGUCAGUAAUCUGCUGGGGCUCAAUGAUGUGCUAACGACCUCAGAAGGUUUCCCCCCCUCCCGGCAUGGCUAAGGGCCCCAGAGGUUUUAUUUGGUAAUUAGUCAAGGUUCACUAUGGAAUGAAGGCAGCUGCUCUGUAGCUCACACCGAAGCUCACAGCCCGACUUUCAACACUGCACCUUUGCCCUGUUUUCCAAAGCAUCACCUCACUUACAUGUUUGGAGGAGAAACUGGGUUUCAAAAGGUGAUUAUUCUCUACCCCCAGCCCCUCAACACACACCCAUGCCCCCAAACACCUAAAACACAUAGUUGUAAAGUCACAGAGCUUGCUUUUAGCCAACAUUAAUCAAGAGAGCAUCAACCAGAGUUGCUGAGAUAAUGAUGAUUUAUUUCAGUGUUAAUAGCUUGCCAAGUAGAAAAAUCUCCUCGCACAACUAGCAGCCCGCUUGCUAGGUUGCCAUCUCAAAAAGCAUGUUUGGGGCGCAGGUCCAUUAGGCUGAAAGUGUGCUGAGGUGUCAACUUUUGCCAUCAUCAAAAGGUCUUGGAUUGAGUUGUCUGAUCCUAAUUUCCAGCCUUAGGAUGCACCUUUGAAGUGGUGACUGUGCAAAGGGCCAUUAUUUCACAGAGAGGAUUGUCUAAUAUUAGAACACGAGGGUUUUCCAUGUUAUGACUCUAAUAGAAUUUGUUGCAUUAGUAAGUGAGGC